GCAGCAGGCGCGAAACUUACCCACUCGAGACUUUCGGAGGAGGUAAUGACCAGUUUCAUGUGAAGCUUAUGCUUCUGUGAAUAGGAUCACACUUUUCCAGUGUGGUGAAACCUAGCAGAGGGCCAGUCUGGUGCCAGCAGCUGCGGUAAUUCCAGCUCUGCGAGUUUGCUCCCAUAUUGUUGCAGUUAAAACGCCCGUAGUCGGAAUUGGACAGCAAUGUCCCUACGUUUCAACGUUCACUGUGGACAAAUCAGGACGCUUAGAGUAUGGUAACAAGAAUGACUCAGCGCAGUAUGAAGUCUUUGUUUCUUUCGGGAAACAAGCUCAAUGAGAGCCAUCGGGGGUGGAUCUAUUUCAUGGCGAGUGGUGGAAUACUUUGACCCAUGAGAGAGACACGGAGGCGAAGGCGUCCACCUAGAGGGUUUCUGUCGAUCAAGGGCGAGAGUAGGAGUAUCCAACCGGAUUAGAGACCCGGGUAGUUCCUACUGUAAACGAUGCCGACAGAGGUUUGUCAUUUUAUAAUGGCAGAACUUUUAGAGAAAUCAUAGUUCUUGGGCUCUGGGGGAACUACGACCGCAAGGCUGAAACUUGAAGGAAUUGACGGAAGGGCACACCAGGGGUGGAGCCUGUGGCUUAAUUUGAAUCAACACGGGGAAACUUACCAGGACCAGAUGUUUUUUAUGACUGACAGGCUUCGGGUCUUUCAGGAUAUUGCUUUUGGUGGUGCAUGGCCGUUGGUGGUGCGUGGGUUGACCUGUCUAGCGUUGAUUCAGCUAACGAGCGAGAUUAUCGCCAAUUAUAUACCUCGCAUUGGCUUCAGUGCUGAGGUUCUAAUUGGGACUCCCUGCGAUUUUAGCAGGCGGAAGAGGGUAGCAAUAACAGGUCCGUGAUGUCC
rnacentral:rRNA from 1 species